GAUCUCUCAAUACUUCUGUACACACUCCGUUUUUGACUGCCGAAUGCGUCGCGUCAUUAGAUCAAUAAAGUCUGGUUCCUGCUCAUCGUCGGACCAACAAAAUACAACAAUAUGUAUAUAAUAUUAGAAUUAAGCGUUGUUAUCAGGUGUUCGGUUAAAUCUGAAGUUCUUUGUUACCAUAAGUAAAACGAACUGAUAACAAGUAGCAAGUGGAACGUCUCUGUUCGAUGCGUGUUCGGCCUGCAAAUCCAUAAUGUUUCAAACUGAGUCAGUCCAAGAAUAUAAAUGGCCACUCCUCGACGGCCGCAAAUAACGAUGUGAAGCUAUCCCAUUUGGUUGCUGUCUUGUCCACUUGGCUGCACAAACAUGAAGAUUGGUCUCGCCGCGAACAGGUAAAACGGCAAAGACAAAACAACAACAACAACAACAACGCAGCCACAAGAGCAACACAGCAAUGCAGUGC